AACGAACGCUGGCGGCAUGCCUAACACAUGCAAGUCGAACGAGACCUUCGGGUCUAGUGGCGCACGGGUGCGUAACGCGUGGGAACCUGCCCUUAGGUUCGGAAUAACUCCCCGAAAGGGGUGCUAAUACCGGAUAAUGUCUUCGGACCAAAGAUUUAUUGCCUUUGGGUGGGCCCGCGUUGGAUUAGCUAGUUGGUAGGGUAAAAGCCUACCAAGGCCACGAUCCAUAGCUGGUCUGAGAGGAUGAUCAGCCACACUGGGAGUGAGACACGGCCCAGACUCCUCCGGGAGGGAGCAGUGGGGAAUAAUGGACGAUGGGCGAAAGCCUGAUGCAGCAAGGCCGCGUGAGUGAUGAAGGCGUUAGGGUUGUAAAGCUCUUUUACCCGGGAUGAUAAUGACAGUACCGGGAGAAUAAGCUCCGGCUAACUCCGU
rnacentral:rRNA from 1 species